rnacentral:lncRNA from 1 species
CUCCUCCGCCACCUCCGCCGGGAGGGCAGCUGGAGCAAGGUGGCGAUGGGGUGACAAACGGUGGUGGGUUGACAAACGGCGGAGGGUUGACGAACGGCGGCGGAUUUGUGAUCGGAGGAGGGUUGAUGAACGGAGGGUUUGUGAAUGGAGGAGGGUUGACCACCGGAGGAGGUCUGACUGGAGGGUUUGUGAUCGGAGGUAGGAUUAUGGGUGGCAUCGGUGGGCCCAUUGACGGUGGAUUAUGUCCUUUGCCUCCUGAUCCACCACCUCCAUGUCCUCCACCACCGCCACCUCCAUGUCCUCCACCACCGCCACCUCCAUGUCCUCCACCACCACCACCUCCAUGUCCUCCACCACUGCCACCUCCGCCGCCACCGCCACCAUGAUGAGGAGGCUGGGUCCACCGCCACCUCCAUGCCCACCACCACCUCCGCUGCCGCCACCACCGCCUCCACCUCCGCCUCCAUGUCCUCCACCGCCGCCGCCCCCGUGAGGAG